UCCCUUGUGGCUCAGCUGGUAAAGAAUCCACCUGCAACGUGGGAGACUUGGGUUUGAUCCCUGGCUUGGGAA
rnacentral:tRNA from 1 species